rnacentral:rRNA from 1 species
GGGGCGACCGCGUGCCUUUUGCAUAAUGAGCCAACGAGUUGUCCGUCGGCGGCUAGGUUAAGCCAAUGGUGUAGCCGCAGCGAAAGCGAGUCUGAAUAGGGCAUUCAGUCGCCGGCGACAGACCCGAAACCGAGUGAUCUAUCCCUGUCCAGGUUGAAGCCUGGGUAAGACCAGGUGGAGGACCGAACCAAUGUGCCUUAAAAAGUGCUUGGAUGAGGUGGGGAUAGGAGUGAAAGGCUAAUCAAACUCGGAGAUAGCUGGUUCUCCCCGAAACCUAUUUAGGUAGGGCCUCGCGGUAGGCCGCCGGAGGUAGAGCACUGGAUGGACUAGGGCCCCCACCAGGGUACCAAACCCAACCAAACUGCGAAUGCCGGUAAGUCGGUCCGCGGGAGUCAGACGGCGGGAGCUAACUUUCGUCGUCGAAAGGGAAACAACCCAGACCGUCAGCUAAGGCCCCCAAGUCAUGGCUAAGUGGGAAAGGAAGUGGGAACGCCCAGACAACCAGGAGGUUAGCUUAGAAGCAGCUACCCUUUAAAGAAAGCGUAAUAGCUCACUGGUCAAGCGGGCCUGCACCGAAAAUAUAACGGGGCUCAAGCCAUGCGCCGAAGCUGCGGAUUGUCUCUUAGGAGACAGUGGUAGGGGAGCGUUCCCCGUGCGGCGAAGCUGUGGUGGAAACCAUGGUGGAGCGCGGGGAAGUGAGGAUGUUGGCAUGAGUAACGAAAAUGCGGGCGAGAAACCCGCACGCCGAAAGUCCAAGGGUUCCUGGGCCAGGUUAAUCCGCCCAGGGUUAGUCGGCACCUAAGGCGAGGCCGAAAGGCGUAGUCGAAGGAAAACCGGUUCAUAUUCCGGUACUUGCGGUGACGCGUGAUGGAGGGACGCAGGAGGAUAGGUCGGCCGGGUGAUGGAUGUCCCGGUUUAAGACGGUAGCCGGAAGCUUCAGGUAAAUCCGGAGCUUCAACGGCGAGAGUCGAUGACGAGAGGCUUUGCCUCACAAAGCGAUUGAUUCCACACUGCCAAGAAAAGCUUCUAAGCAUAGUCACAGCAAACCGUACCCCAAACCGACACAGGUGGACUGGUAGAGAAUACCAAGGCGCUUGAGAGAAACCAUGUUAAGGAACUCUGCAAAUUAACUCCGUACCUUUGGAAGAAGGAGUGCCCACAAAGUGAAGGGGCUUGCCCCUGGAGCUUAGCUGGGUCGCAGUGACCAGGCCUGGCCGACUGUUUAGCAAAAACAUAGCACUCUGCAAACUCGCAAGAGGAAGUAUAGGGUGUGACGCCUGCCCGGUGCCGGAAGGUUAACAGGAGAGGUCAGCUUACGCGAAGCCUCGAAUCGAAGCCCCGGUAAACGGCGGCCGUAACUAUAACGGUCCUAAGGUAGCGAAAUUCCUUGUCGGGUAAGUUCCGACCUGCACGAAUGGCGUAACGAUCCGGGCGCUGUCUCAACGUGGUUCUCAGUGAAAUUGAAAUAGCGGUGAAGAUACCGUUAACCCGCAGCAAGACGGAAAGACCCCGUGAACCUUUACUGCAGCUUGGCAGUGGAUUCGGGAAGAGCUUGUGUAGGAUAGGUGGGAGGCUUAGAAGUCGGUGCGCUAGCGCCGGUGGAGCCGUCCUUGAAAUACCACCCUGGUUUUUUCGGAAUUCUAACCUCGUCCCGUGAUCCGGGACAGGGACCCUGCCUGGUGGGCGGUUUGACUGGGGCGGUCGCCUCCCAAAGCGUAACGGAGGCGCGCAAUGGUUCCCUCAGAGUGAUUGGAAACCACUCGUAGAGUGCAAAGGCAUAAGGGAGCCUGACUGCGAGAGAGACAUCUCAAGCAGGGACGAAAGUCGGUCUUAGUGAUCCGGUGGUUCCUUGAGGAAGGGCCAUCGCUCAACGGAUAAAAGGUACUCCGGGGAUAACAGGCUAAUCGCGCCCAAGAGUUCACAUCGACGGCGCGGUUUGGCACCUCGAUGUCGGCUCAUCGCAUCCUGGGGCUGAAGCAGGUCCCAAGGGUAUGGCU